rnacentral:rRNA from 1 species
GAUGAACGCUAGCGGCAGGCUUAAUACAUGCAAGUCGAGGGGUAACAGGUCUGUAGCAAUACAGAUGCUGACGACCGGCAAACGGGUGCGGAACACGUACAGAACCUUCCUUCGAGUGGGAGAUAGCCCAGGGAAACUUGGAGUAAUAUCCCAUAGGAUCAUAGAGUGGCAUCACUUAGUGAUUAAAGAUUUAUCGCUUGAAGAUGGCUGUGCGGCUGAUUAGGUAGUUGGUGUAGGUAACGGCUCACCAAGCCUUCGAUCAGUAACUGGUGUGAGAGCACGACCAGUCACACGGGCACUGAGACACGGGCCCGACUCCUACGGGAGGCAGCAGUAAGGAAUAUUGGGCAAUGGAGGCAACUCUGACCCAGCCAUGCCGCGUGGAGGAUGAAGGUCCUCUGGAUUGUAAACUUCUUUUAUUUGGGAAGAAAUGCCGAUUUUCUAAUUGGUUUGACGGUACCAGAUGAAUAAGCACCGGCUAACUCCGUGCCAGCCGCCGCGGUAAUAC